rnacentral:rRNA from 1 species
UGAUCUGCUCAGAUGACGCUAGCGCAGCUAUACAUGCAGUCGAACGGUAACAUGGUGCUGCACCAGAUGACGAGUGGCGCACGGGUGCGUAACGCGUAUGCAACCUACCUUUUACUAGAGUAUAGCCCAGAGAAAUUUGGAUUAAUCCUCUAUAACAUCUUUUAAUUUCAUGAUUUUAAGAUUAAAGUUUUAACGGUAAAAGAUGGGCAUGCGUCCUAUUAGUUUGUAGGUGAGGUAACGGCUCACCUAGACUACGAUAGGUAGGGGCCCUGAGAGGGGGAUCCCCCACACUGGUACUGAGACACGGACCAGACUCCUACGGGAGGCAGCAGUAAGGAAUAUUGGACAAUGGACGAAAGUCUGAUCCAGCCAUGCCGCGUGCAGGAUGACAGCCCUACGGGUUGUAAACUGCUUUUAUACAGGAAGAAACACUCCGACGUGUCGGAGCUUGACGGUACUGUAAGAAUAAGGAUCGGCUAACUCCGUGCCAGCAGCCGCGGUAAUACGGAGGAUCCAAGCGUUAUCCGGAAUCAUUGGGUUUAAAGGGUCCGCAGGCUGUUUUUUAAGUCAGAGGUGAAAUCCUACAGCUCAACUGUAGAACUGCCUUUGAUACUGGAAAACUUGAGUUAUUGUGAAGUGGUUAGAAUGUGUGGUGUAGCGGUGAAAUGCAUAGAUAUCACACAGAAUACCGAUUGCGAAGGCAGAUCACUAACAAUAUACUGACGCUCAUGGACGAAAGCGUGGGGAGCGAACAGGAUUAGAUACCCUGGUAGU